AAUUGUCGCCGUGAUAAAUGGGUACCUACAGAGUCGUCGGAGUUGUGUGAAAUUCAUUUUGAGGAAAACCAAUUCGAACAGCAUCGUCUGGAUGGUUUAAAGAAACUAAAAUCAAAUGCAAUUCCAACACUCUUUGAUGUGCCCAAUCCCCCUCGCAUGUUGGAGACCAAAAUAAAAUCCUUGUAUAAGACUAUAGGAAAUUUGAGUAGUGAUAAUCUUAAGAAAAAUGUAUCUUCGACUGAAAAACGAUUAUCACAGGCUACAUCAAUAGAAAGCAAUGUUACCAUCAGUGAGAAUUACUCUGAACCUGUUAGCUGCCUGGAGAGGAAUGUUUGUCACUAGAUCCAAUAGAAGAACUUGAAAAAAUUAGAGCUGAAAUGAAUCGCCUAAAAGAUGAGAAUGACCACAUGAAAAAAGAAAUUAAAGAACUUGAAAAGGUUGAAGAAGAAAACAAGCUAGUUCAGCUGGAAGUUGAACACUUACAGACCAAAGUUAAGAAAGCUAAUGAAUUGUUACACCAAUUCCUUAAUGAUGAUCAGAUAUCUGCUUUAAGUACACCCACUCGGAAGUGGACCAAUGACACUAUAGUAAUGGGCUUCAAAAUGAGGUUUGCCUUGGGAGUCCAUGGUUAUGAGCAUCUUAGGGAAACUAAAUAUCCUCUUCCUGCAUAUAGUACGCUGAC